GACGAACGCUGGCGGCGUGCUUAACACAUGCAAGUCGAACGGAAAGGCCCUGCUUUUGUGGGGUGCUCGAGUGGCGAACGGGUGAGUAACACGUGAGUAACCUUCCCUUGACUUUGGGAUAACUUCAGGAAACUGGGGCUAAUACCGGAUAGGAGCUCCUGCUGCAUGGUGGGGGUUGGAAAGUUUCGGCGGUUGGGGAUGGACUCGCGGCUUAUCAGCUUGUUGGUGGGGUAGUGGCUUACCAAGGCUUUGACGGGUAGCCGGCCUGAGAGGGUGACCGGCCACAUUGGGACUGAGAUACGGCCCAGACUCCUACGGGAGGCAGCAGUGGGGAAUAUUGCACAAUGGGCGGAAGCCUGAUGCAGCAACGCCGCGUGCGGGAUGACGGCCUUCGGGUUGUAAACCGCUUUCGCCUGUGGCGAAGCGUGAGUGACGGUAAUGGGUAAAGAAGCACCGGCUAACUACGUG
rnacentral:rRNA from 1 species